rnacentral:rRNA from 1 species
GCGUACCUUUUGUAUAAUGGGUCAGCGACUUAUAUUCUGUAGCAAGGUUAACCGAAUAGGGGAGCCGGAGGGAAACCGAGUCUUAAUUGGGCGUUAAGUUGCAGGGUAUAGACCCGAAACCCGGUGAUCUAGCCAUGGGCAGGUUGAAGGUUGGGUAACACUAACUGGAGGACCGAACCGACUAAUGUUGAAAAAUUAGCGGAUGACCUGUGGCUGGGGGUGAAAGGCCAAUCAAACCGGGAGAUAGCUGGUUCUCCCCGAAAGCUAUUUAGGUAGCGCCUCGUGAAUUCAUCUCCGGGGGUAGAGCACUGUUUCGGCUAGGGGGCCAUCCCGGCUUACCAACCCGAUGCAAACUGCGAAUACCGGAGAAUGUUAUCACGGGAGACACACGGCGGGUGCUAACGUCCGUCGUGAAGAGGGAAACAACCCAGACCGCCAGCUAAGGUCCCAAAGUCAUGGUUAAGUGGGAAACGAUGUGGGAAGGCCCAGACAGCCAGGAUGUUGGCUUAGAAGCAGCCAUCAUUUAAAGAAAGCGUAAUAGCUCACUGGUCGAGUCGGCCUGCGCGGAAGAUGUAACGGGGCUAAACCAUGCACCGAAGCUGCGGCAGCGAACGUAUCACCCAAGACAACUUUACGGAGUUGACGAUUGACGGAGCGAAGCGACGUCAAAGCGUUCAUUAAAGUCGAGUUGGCUUAGGGAUACGUUCGUUGGGUAGGGGAGCGUUCUGUAAGCCUGUGAAGGUGUGUCGUGAGGCAUGCUGGAGGUAUCAGAAGUGCGAAUGCUGACAUAAGUAACGAUAAAGCGGGUGAAAAGCCCGCUCGCCGGAAGACCAAGGGUUCCUGUCCAACGUUAAUCGGGGCAGGGUGAGUCGACCCCUAAGGCGAGGCCGAAAGGCGUAGUCGAUGGGAAACGGGUUAAUAUUCCCGUACUUGGUGUUACUGCGAAGGGGGGACGGAGAAGGCUAUGUUGGCCGGGCGACGGUUGUCCCGGUUUAAGCGUGUAGGUGUGUGUUCCAGGUAAAUCCGGUU